rnacentral:rRNA from 1 species
UACGUAGGGGGCAAGCGUUGUCCGGAUUUAUUGGGCGUAAAGAGCGUGUAGGCGGCCAGGUAGGUCCGCUGUGAAAACUCGAGGCUCAACCUCGAGAUGUCGGCGGAAACCAUCUGGCUAGAGUCCGGAAGAGGAGAGUGGAAUUCCUGGUGUAGCGGUGAAAUGCGCAGAUAUCAGGAAGAACACCCGUGGCGAAGGCGGCUACCUGGACAAUUGCUGACGCUCAGGCACGAAAGCGUGGGGAGCAAAAGGG